ACUCCUACGGGAGCAGCAGUGGGGAAUAUUGCACAAUGGGCGCAAGCCUGAUGCAGCCAUGCCGCGUGUGUGAAGAAGGCCUUCGGGUUGUAAAGCACUUUCAGCAGUGAGGAAGGCGGAGUCGUUAAUAGCGGCCUCGUUUGACGUUAGCUGCAGAAGAAGCACCGGCUAACUCCGUGCCAGCAGCCGCGGUAAUACGGAGGGUGCGAGCGUUAAUCGGAAUUACUGGGCGUAAAGCGCAUGCAGGUGGUUUGUUAAGUCAGAUGUGAAAGCCCGGGGCUCAACCUCGGAAUAGCAUUUGAAACUGGCAGACUAGAGUACUGUAGAGGGGGGUAGAAUUUCAGGUGUAGCGGUGAAAUGCGUAGAGAUCUGAAGGAAUACCGGUGGCGAAGGCGGCCCCCUGGACAGAUACUGACACUCAGAUGCGAAAGCUGGGGAGCAAACAGGAUUAGAUACCCUGGUAGGAUAGCG
rnacentral:rRNA from 1 species